rnacentral:rRNA from 1 species
AGAACCCCGGCGAGGGGAGUGAAAAAGAACCUGAAACCGUGUACGUACAAGCAGUGGGAGCACAGGUUUACCUGUGUGACUGCGUACCUUUUGUAUAAUGGGUCAGCGACUUAUAUUCUGUAGCAAGGUUAACCGUAUAGGGGAGCCGUAGGGAAACCGAGUCUUAACCGGGCGUUAAGUUGCAGGGUAUAGACCCGAAACCCGGUGAUCUAGCCAUGGGCAGGUUGAAGGUUGGGUAACACUAACUGGAGGACCGAACCGACUAAUGUUGAAAAAUUAGCGGAUGACCUGUGGCUGGGGGUGAAAGGCCAAUCAAACCGGGAGAUAGCUGGUUCUCCCCGAAAGCUAUUUAGGUAGCGCCUCGUGAAUUCAUCUCCGGGGGUAGAGCACUGUUUCGGCUAGGGGGCCAUCCCGGCUUACCAACCCGAUGCAAACUGCGAAUACCGGAGAAUGUUAUCACGGGAGACACACGGCGGGUGCUAACGUCCGUCGUGAAGAGGGAAACAACCCAGACCGCCAGCUAAGGUCCCAAAGUCAUGGUUAAGUGGGAAACGAUGUGGGAAGGCCCAGACAGCCAGGAUGUUGGCUUAGAAGCAGCCAUCAUUUAAAGAAAGCGUAAUAGCUCACUGGUCGAGUCGGCCUGCGCGGAAGAUGUAACGGGGCUAAACCAUGCACCGAAGCUGCGGCAGCGAACGUAUCACCCAAGACAACUUUACGGAGUUGACGAUUGACGGAGCGAAGCGACGUCAAAGCGUUCAUUAAAGUCGAGUUGGCUUAGGGAUACGUUCGUUGGGUAGGGGAGCGUUCUGUAAGCCUGUGAAGGUGUGUCGUGAGGCAUGCUGGAGGUAUCAGAAGUGCGAAUGCUGACAUAAGUAACGAUAAAGCGGGUGAAAAGCCCGCUCGCCGGAAGACCAAGGGUUCCUGUCCAACGUUAAUCGGGGCAGGGUGAGUCGACCCCUAAGGCGAGGCCGAAAGGCGUAGUCGAUGGGAAACGGGUUAAUAUUCCCGUACUUGGUGUUACUGCGAAGGGGGGACGGAGAAGGCUAUGUUGGCCGGGCGACGGUUGUCCCGGUUUAAGCGUGUAGGUGUGUGUUCCAGGUAAAUCCGGUUCACUUUAACACUGAGGCGUGACGACGAGGCACUACGGUGCUGAAGCAACAAAUGCCCUGCUUCCAGGAAAAGCCUCUAAGCAUCAGGUAACAC